CGAGUACCCCGUCCCACGCUCCACUCCCGACACCUGUUCCGUUUAAAAUCCCGGGCGUCGACGUGGCCGCGUGCGCAGCCACAAACCACCGCUCCCCGCCGCAAUUAACAACGCGCUAAUCUGCUCCGCGCGGCCCAAAUCCCCCGCUAAACCGCUCCUCCUCCCUCCGCCAAAAAGCCAAUCCCCUCGCUUUUCCUAUCUCCACUUGGGGGGUUGGGGUUCUAGACUCGUCGAUUCGGUUUCGAUCCUUCUAGACAGUUCGCCGCGCCCGGCUAUAAAAGCCGGCACCUCCCGCGGCCAUCGAUCGGCACAUCAGCACUCGCACGCAGCCCUUUGCUCAGUGGCCGGGGUUGGGGUUCGAGACUCGUCGAUUCCAAGCUAUUGGCGUAUUGCAUGUGGUGGCACCAAGCAUGAGGCAGGAACUGCAUUACUUGCAAGGAAGUCACAACUCACAAAAUCAAUUGGAAGAUCAUACUUGUGGCUUUCUUGCAAGUUGUGCAGUUGUUGCCUCAAGCUUGCUGCCUCCCUUUGCCAGAGCUACAAGUAAAAUAAGAAGUAUUCUCAGUUUCUGAGCUGCAAAAGUAAUUUUGGAAAACAAUCGAGAAAUGUGUUUCAUGAUAUAUGAAUGUGCUGCUAAAAGUUAAUCAAUACUCAGCGAUACUCACUAACUGCACAUGCUUUGCAUUGGGGGUUAACAUGCCUGCUUAAUUCACAUGCAAACAUUUGGAACUAUAAUGCUGCAAUUUAGUUAUACAGUAGACAUCUGAACAUGUAUGCUAUGGUCUUUGUUACUGUAAAUUUAAUAAUUGAUACUGUUCCACUUCAUACAAUGUUAACUAAGUUUAGGAGUUUGUAGCUGAUCAUUAUGUUGGAACAAUCAGUAGAGUAACAUUGUUGCCUUACAGUCACCCAACCUGAUUUCAAGGUAAAUUGAGUUUAGUUUAUCUAUUUUCCUAAAGAAUGCCCUCUCUUGCAUUCUCUCAUGAGCAUUUGUAGUUUUAGUUCUGUGACAUUGUUAUGUUCUCUUCUUAAUAUAAUGAUAUGCAGCUCUCCUGCUUUUUCUAGGAAAAAAAGCAUUAGAUAUUCUCAUAGUGAAUAGUAUCAUAGUUCCAACAUCUAUAAGGCUUGAUAUUGCCUAACACAACGGUGGAGCAGCUAAGUGUAAAAGGAGAUACAUGCCAUAAAAUACAUUACCAUGUAGCCUGUAGGUGAUCAUCUGGUAUUUUCUUGAUUAUUAGAAAGGAAAAGUCAUCAGGAACGGACUCUCAUGCAAAGAUGCUUAGCAGGUGGUCUAUUAGCAUCGUAUAUACCUAAUACAGCUCUUCCAGCGACAUGAAUCAUGAUACCAGUCUCAUACUAGUGUCAGUUAACAUCGAUUAAUUGUUCUGUUGUUCCAGCAUUUGCUAUUUUGAUGUUCUUUAUCUUGUGCAAAUGACAUAGUUUCAGUUAAUUUCUUCACAGAUGUAUUUUAAAGGGUGCCAUCUCCUUUUGCGCCAUGUUCCGUAGCAGGGAUGGUUUAAACCAUCACUAUGCCCAGCUCUGAAGCACGAAUGGAACUUCAGAUUGUUAGCAUAUUCAGUAAUCACUGUGCCCACUUCUAAACUAUUGGGAUGAACCUUGGGGGUGUCUUGGCUUUAACCUCGAUUUGGGACAUAGAUGUGUGGCUUCGCCAGCUGACUGCUGACUGCUGUGAAGACUGUAUAGCCUCUGUAACUGUUGCGGACGAUGUCCAUUUUUUUCCAUUCAUGUAUUUUCUUCUAUCUCAUUUUGUGCGUGUUUGUUGUAAGACCGGACCGAAUAAGCUGGUAGAUAGCUGUCCUGUUUUUCUGUUUGUUUGUUUGCACCAGCAGGUGUCUGGCCGUAUCCUAAGUUGGACAGGGGGGUAUAUCAGUCCCUUCGUUGACUAUACUGAAAAUGAUAAUCCCGAUUUGCUGUAUACGCAGA